GCGAUGGUGGAAGGUUUAAUGGGACCAGUUUCUGGAACAUUCGGGACUGCGGCACCUUACGGCCGACCGAGAUUUGGGUCUGCGCAGGCGACGAUGGGUGGUCCGAUGGGCUUCAGGACUUGAUGGCGUAACCCCCGUCUUCCCCCACUGUCAGCUGCUCAAGCCUGACCGAGGUAGAGGAAAGAGGAGCAAGCCGUCCCUGGUGUCCCACCUGACCUCCCAGCCGUUACCCCCAUUUCCUUCUAUCGGGCAGACAGACAGACAGGCUGGUUUUCCAAGUUGUUUGGGUAUCAGUGUCUGUCCGUCCGUAUGGUUCUCAGGUAGAAGGUGCGGAGUGAGGAGGAGAAGUGUUGAGAGGAAGGCGAGAGGGGCAGCUUUCUAGGGGUUGCCUUGUUGAAACAUUCGGCCCUGGGAAUCUGGGGCUAUUGGGGAGCAGGUGGGCAGGAUGGGGCGUGGGCUGCGAGAAGUGGGGUAAAGCCGGUAGGUUUGUCACUGCGUAGUUGGGGAAAGUGGGGAAUGGUGACGCAGUCACUGUUGGAUCUUGUUAGGGGCUCUGGGGGGACAGGUAGUGAGGGUCCCAGGGUCUGUAGGGCCAGCUGAGAGGGGUUGAGGAUGAGCUGAGAAGGGAAGCUAGCAUUUAGAGAUUAAAUGUCAUCCUUUUGGCGUUGGAAAGUUGUUUACCUUGUGCUCUCUGUGUCUCCAUGUUGGCACCCUUCCAGUUCACAUGUGAUGGCCUUCCUUGUACUGCUGCAUCAUUAACUAAGUGACUGAGCUGGCCUUCCAUUGGCCAGGGGAGGGCUCUCACUCCAGACACUUCCUCUGAUUGGUGGGUGGACCAAUGGCAGUGGGAAUUUUCCGAUCAGCCACACCUCAGCGUUGCGGCAAAAUAAAUCUUGGCUCCCCUGGAAACGCAUGGGCAAGGUAGGGCAGAGCUGCUGUUGCCACCACCCUGGGCUUCCUGCUGACUCCGGGCUCCUCCCUGGGGACAAGAGAUUUGCAUUGACGUCCCAGGCCGUCCAGAGCUGAGCCCAUUAUGGGAAGGACCUGCCUUCUGGAAGCUGCUGCUCCCCGGUGCUUGGAGAGGUACCACAUCCAUCUGGUUCACGGCGGUUAUUUCAUUUAUUUCUCACCGCAACCCUGCGAGGAGUGUCCCAUGGCCGGAACUUCUGCAUCAGGAAAACACCAUGGAAACGCCAUGAGCAUUGGUGGUGGUGGAGUGAGGGUUAAACAGUGAGCCUUCCUGGGAUCCUUUUCAUGCCAGGUUUGUUUUCAGAAAGAUGUGAUGGAUGGGCCGUCCUUGAUGAGACCGCGUGCCCGCUGGGACUGGCCUUUCUCCAGGAUGCUGGGCCCGGCUUGGUGUUUCUUCUGUCAGUGGAUGAGAACCCAGAGGAGUUCAGCUCCGUGAGUAGGUGACAAACUCCUGGAGACUCGGCUGACGAUGGUGCUGGCGUGCAGAAAACAGUUGUCAUCCUGUGGGAUAAGUGUGUGCCCAUUUGCAUUUAUUUGGAACAAAAAAAGGAGCUGCCUGGCAGCCUGGCUCUCUGCAAUGAUAGUAGAUUCAAAAUCUUGUGGAGGAGGGCGCUGAUGUAGGCUGAGGGCCAGGAGGGGCUGGUGCUUCUCGAAGGAUCCUGGAUCCUGGGUUUGGAGGAGAGGCUGGGCACAUGACGUGGCUGAGAGCACAGUGUGGCCUCCGGUGUGUCUUCCUGGUUUCCGGUUUGCCUUGCUUUGCCCGAGGAUGUCUUUGGACCUCUCUCUUCCUUCUUUUGAACCUGCUGCCUUCCGUGCCUUCCUCCAGCCCUCCCUCAUCCUUUCUUUGAUUUUCUUUGGGAUGUGUGAGGCAGACCCAGCUAUGGGCAUCCGGGAGCUGGUCUGCUCCCCGCCCUCACCCUCGUUUGGGACUUCCGGAAGUCUGGCUUGCCCGGCAUAAGGGGCCAGCUGUCCUCAGAGGAGCUGGUGGUGAACGAGCAUGUAUAGGGCAGAGUGGGCUGGGUCUUUGCCUCCUCCCUUUCAGAGGUGCUGUUGAGCCCCCACUUUGUGUGGUUCUGUGACCACAAGUGCUGAUGGAUGUGACGCCAUCCCAGUCUUGUCGGUGAACCAUCACCAGGCUGCUUAUUGGAAACCAGGUGCAGCAAGGAAGAUAGGAUUCAACGCCCUCCUUCCCUGCCUCCCAGCUGGGAAAAUCCAUCCAAGGUCCACAGAGCUCACAGGAACUUGGCGUGAGUCAGGAAUCAAGGUGGCAGUAGUCUGUAGUUUCGUCACCAGCAGACUAGGGUUUUUUCCAUUAGCUGUGGCUGCUCCUGACCUUCCAUCUCCCGCCCUCACCAGGCGCCAGCUGGCGUCUCCACCUCAGCCUGGUCACUGUGGCCACCUCUGGUCCAGGCAGCACAGGGGGACACUCGGGUUCAGUCUUUGCCGAGUCACUGAUAAGACAUAUGUCUGCAGGAGGCAGACUUCAGCUGAGCCUCUCCCGCCAGAACACGUGGUUGCGAGAUUUCGCAGUAGGGAAGGGACAGGCAGAGGCUAAGGGAGGGGAGUCCCCUUGUAUCAGAUGCUUGGACGGGCUCUGUGUCUUGAGAGGUCGGUGGCUGGGGAUGGGGGAGGGGACAUUUCCUGUGUGUAACUUCAGGGCUCAGGACUUGUUUACAUGGUAGGAGUGCAGCGGCUGCUGGGCCCAGGGUGAGUCGGGCCACGAGAUUCUCCCUCUUUGGCACCAUGGUCCUUGCCGCCUGGCCCACCCUGACCGUGGAGACUGCCACCUGCUGCCAGGGGGCCGUGUGGGUCUUGGUGGCAUGUGGUUGUGGGGGCCCAGGGAGCCUGUAGACGAGUCACCAGGCCUGGGUUCUGGCUCCCUUGGUAAAAACUCACUCACCCCCUUCACCUCUUUGGGCCUCGUUUUCAUUAUCGGUAAAAUGAGAGGGUUGAAUCAGAAUCUUUUUGGAGGCUCCUGCCACCUCCCACAUGGGGGCUCCCUGGAUGUCCAUGGAGGUAUUUCUUAUCCCGAAACUCAGGAUCGGCAUCACAAGAGAGGGGUGGGACCUUGAAGACCCGUCUGAGAGCAGCUGUAAUCGUGUCUUCUGAAGGGACGCUGUCGGCAUGAAUUAGGGCGGGUGGGUGGAGACAGUUUUCGAAAGACCCCCGAAAGCAAGUGCGAAGGGUGAAUACUGCACGAAGGUGGCUGAUGAGGACCCUCCAGGUGACCGAGGACGUGGACUCUGGCUCCCACCAAGAGGCUUGUCUGGAGAUGGGCCGUGUGGGAGCUGCUGGGGGCUUGCUGUGCCGCAGGGGGUGACUGGACAUGCCGUGCCCCAGGAAAGAUGUGCCAUCCUUUCUGGCCCUAAAUCCUGGAGAGAAAAUGGGACUGCAGGGCCCUUGUGUCCUGUGCAUUCCCUGAGACUUAUCCUCAGGGUCUGUGCCCCUUGGCUGUCAGGAAGUUUCCCUUUAUAUUUAGCCUUCUUUUCUCAUGUGGUUGUUUAAGCCCUUCUAUUUAAAACAAACAAACAAACAAACAAAAAAAACGAUAAAAAGACAAGAGAAAAGAAAACAAAAACAGAAAUAUCUCAGAGCUACCAGUUCCAUUUUGGCUUUUUAGUCUUGAGUCACUCUUUAAAAGACAGCAAAAAUGAAACACGUACAGCAAAGCCCAGGGUCCCAGGCCCUUCCGGGCUUUUGUGCAAAGCCAGGCUGUGGCCAGGAGUGGCCGGGUCCCGGCCUCACCUCUCUUCUCCAUGGCAGCCUCAGUCCGUGACGUCCACCAUGUUUCCUGGGCUGCGUGGGUAGGAGCCCUGAGGCGGAGGCCCACAUUGUGCAACCCGCUAGACAGAAUGCAGAGCCUUAAAAAUAGCUACAUUUCUCCAAGAUGCUGUCUGCUUGCCACUCUGCAGGACACUUACCUGGGAUUCGUAACUCUGAUCCAGCCUCCCCAGCUCCCAGGAGGGUGGUGAGAAAAGGGGUUUGGGCUAGGAUGCAGGCAGGAGAGGAAUCGACUAGUAACCAUUGUCUCACAUGCGCCGCGCGGUGUUUUCACAGUUCUUUUCACGUUUGCGAGCUCUUUUGGCCUCACACAGCCCUGUGAGGGCAAGUGGGUGGUAUUAGCCCUGUAGUUGACGACACUGAAGCAGAGAGAAUCCUGCCAGGGUCUAACUGCUUGUAUCUGC